rnacentral:rRNA from 1 species
CGCGGCCUAUCAGCUUGUUGGUGAGGUAACGGCUCACCAAGGCAUCGACGGGUAGCUGGUCUGAGAGGACGAUCAGCCACACUGGGACUGAGACACGGCCCAGACUCCUACGGGAGGCAGCAGUAGGGAAUCUUGCGCAAUGGGCGAAAGCCUGACGCAGCAACGCCGCGUGGGGGAAGAAGGCUCUAGGGUCGUAAACCCCUUUCAGCAGGGACGAAAAUGACGGUACCUGCAGAAGAAGCGCCGGCCAACUACGUGCCAGCAGCCGCGGUAAUACGUAGGGCGCAAGCGUUGUCCGGAUUUAUUGGGCGUAAAGGGCUCGUAGGCGGUUUGGUAAGUCGGGUGUGAAAACUCAGGGCUCAACUCUGAGACGCCACUCGAUACUGCCAUGACUAGAGUCCGGUAGGGGAGUGCGGAAUUCCUGGUGUAGCGGUGAAAUGCGCAGAUAUUAGGAGGAACACCGACGGCGAAGGCAGCACUCUGGGCCGGUACUGACGCUCAGGAGCGAAAGCGUGGGUAGCAAACAGGAUUAGAUACCCUGGUAGUCCACGCCGUAAACGUUGGGCACUAGGUGUGGGGCCUUAUCAACGGGUUCCGUGCCGUAGCUAACGCAUUAAGUGCCCCGCCUGGGGAGUACGG